rnacentral:misc_RNA from 1 species
UUUCCGUAGGUGAACCUGCGGAAGGAUCAUUAUAAAUGAAAAACGAAUAACUUCAGGGAAGAAGGGAACCUGCACGGUGACCUCCCCUGUCGGGCCACCCAAUACCUUCAAAAUGCCGCCGUCCUAGCGGUGGCAGACGAAAAAAAAACAAGAAAAACAAAAUAGAAACAGGCACGGUGGCCCGUUCACCUUCACACAACCCUCCGAGUACCGCUUCCAUGUUGCUUCCCCGCAAAUCCACCUCUUUGGUGAGCGCGGGGGAGGUCCGCAUCAAAUUCACCUGAAUGUCGCAGCAGUCAGACAGCCAUUCAUGGAAACAAUAAAACUUUCAACAACGGAUCUCUUGGUUCCC